rnacentral:rRNA from 1 species
AGCUAUGACCAAUUCACCAUGAUAAAUGCGCCCAACCUCGUGAGAUAUCGGAAGCUAAGUAAGAUCCAGCUUGGUUGGAACUUAAAUGCAAGACAACCUGGGAACAGCAGGUGUUGUAGGCU